rnacentral:rRNA from 1 species
UGAACGCUGGCGGUAUGCUUAACACAUGCAAGUCGAACGGUAACAGAAGAAGCUUGCUUCUUGCUGACGAGUGGCGGACGGGUGAGUAACGCGUAGGAAUCUGCCCAAAAGUGGGGGACAACGUGGGGAAACCCACGCUAAUACCGCAUAAGCCCUACGGGGUAAAGCAGGGGAUCUUCGGACCUUGCGCUUUUGGAUGAGCCUGCGUUGGAUUAGCUAGUUGGUGAGGUAACGGCUCACCAAGGCAACGAUCCAUAGCUGUUCUGAGAGGAAGAUCAGCCACACUGGGACUGAGACACGGCCCAGACUCCUACGGGAGGCAGCAGUGGGGAAUAUUGGACAAUGGGCGCAAGCCUGAUCCAGCAAUACCGCGUGUGUGAAGAAGGCCUGCGGGUUGUAAAGCACUUUCAAUAGGGAAGAAAAGGGUUUGGAUAAUACCUAAGCUCCUUGACGUUACCUAUAGAAGAAGCACCGGCUAACCCU